rnacentral:rRNA from 1 species
AUUGAACGCUGGCGGCAGGCCUAACACAUGCAAGUCGAGCGGCAGCGGGAAGUAGCUUGCUACUUUGCCGGCGAGCGGCGGACGGGUGAGUAAUGUCUGGGAAACUGCCUGAUGGAGGGGGAUAACUACUGGAAACGGUAGCUAAUACCGCAUAACGUCGCAAGACCAAAGAGGGGGACCUUCGGGGCUCUUGCCAUCAGAUGUGCCCAGAUGGGAUUAGCUGGCAGGUAGGGUAAGGGCCUACCUGGGCGACGACGCCUAGCUGGUCUGAGGGGAUGAACAGCCACACGGGAACAGGGACACGGUCCAGACGCGUACGGGAGGCAGCAGUGGGGAAUAUUGCACAAUGGGCGCAAGCCUGAUGCAGCCAUGCGGCGUGUGUGAAGAAGGCCUUCGGGUUGUAAAGCACUUUCAGCGAGGAGGAAGGCAGUAAGGUUAAUAACCUUGCUGAUUGACGUUACUCGCAGAAGAAGCACCGGCUAACUCCGUGCCAGCCGCCGCAGUAA